GACGAACGCUGGCGGCGUGCUUAACACAUGCAAGUCGAACGGAAAGGCCCUUCGGGGUACUCGAGUGGCGAACGGGUGAGUAACACGUGGGUGAUCUGCCCUGCACUUUGGGAUAAGCCUGGGAAACUGGGUCUAAUACCGAAUAGGACCACGCGCUUCAUGGUGUGUGGUGGAAAGCUUUUGCGGUGUGGGAUGGGCCCGCGGCCUAUCAGCUUGUUGGUGGGGUAAUGGCCUACCAAGGCGACGACGGGUAGCCGGCCUGAGAGGGUGACCGGCCACACUGGGACUGAGAUACGGCCCAGACUCCUACGGGAGGCAGCAGUGGGGAAUAUUGCACAAUGGGCGCAAGCCUGAUGCAGCGACGCCGCGUGAGGGAUGACGGCCU
rnacentral:rRNA from 1 species